AAGGAAGGAAGGAAGGAAGGAAGGAAGGAAGGAAGGAAGGAAGGAAGGAAGAGGUAUCAGAGCUCGGUGUAUCGGCUAGGUGAGGUGGGGGAGAUGCUCCUCCAAUCUUGAGCAGACCAAGGGGGUGCAGUGCAGAGAGAUGCUAGGUUUGGGGGCCGUCUCCAGACGGAGCUGAGGUGGACAGGUGCAGUGGCUCUGCCCGCUCACUCUGCCUGUCCCCAGAGCCUGGAACCCCAAGCUUUGUUGUGUGAGCUGCAGUUCUAGAGCAACACGCCAUCCCAGCACUUGGUGGGGACACCAGUGUGUUUCGGUGGGGGAGAAAGGGCAGCAGAGGUCAAGAGUUCAUUGUCUAGACAACUCACAGACACUAGACACAUUAUAAGCGUUUCCUUGCACAUGUCUGCUCUUGGUCCUCACUACUGCUCUGGGAAGGGCGUUCUCCAUAUUUGUUGCACGGCCUCUGGACAUUCUGAGAUUUCCCUCGAAGACGUCUGAGAGCAAUCACCCAUUGCACUCACAUUUGUAUCCUUAUACCCAAGCACCAUCAGUUACACUACUAAGUCCUCAUGUCCCACACAGUUGCACCAGCACAUCUGCUUGGUCACUCUCACUUUUCAAAGAACCACAUCUUCAUACUUUCACUGGUACACGUGUUCAGCUUAGCUCCCUCAUGGGCAUAUAAUCUACACACAGUCCUCGACAAACACACCCAACUCCUAACGUGUGCCCACUGCAUCUACAUUCACCCUCAUGAGCUCUUGGUGGUUCCCCCUACUUCCUAGAGGCCACUUCCCCUGCCACACCUCCCUGACAGCGUGUGUGUGUGUGUGUGUGUGUGUGUGUGUGUGUGUGUGUGUGUGUGCGCGCAAGCGUGCAUUAAGGCACAGGUCAAUACCAGGUAUUUUCUUUAUUUUUUGAGACAGAGUUUGUCACUGAGCCCAGAGUUCAUCCAUUCGGCCAGGACAGCUGGACAGUAAGCACCAGGCAGGCAUCCUUCUGUCCUGACCCCCUUAGAAACACCUGCUUCCACAGACGGCUUCCCACACGGGUGCUGUGGAUCCACCCUCAGGCUCCCAGGCUCCAUGUCUGCACAGCAAGUACUCCGUGUAAGCAAGCCAUCUCCCCAGUCCCAGUUAUCCUUCCAGAUGUUCCCAGGUGUGUCCUAUCAGACAGACAGACAGACCAAUGGCCAUUCAGGCUGAGUAAUCCUUUCCAGGAUAGAGAGGAAAGCCUAGGGUGGGGCAAACACAAGUGUUGGGUGGGAAUUCAGAGAGCAGUAGUGGGGGGGGGUCUCCCACCUGGGAUACGGCACAGUUAGGGGGUGCUGAGCAUGAACCCCUGAUGCCUGCUGCAAUUUCCAGUGGAGUUAGAGUCUCUUCCUCAUUCCUGGAUGUCUGGUAUAACCUAUCUUCAGAAACCCUAGGUAGGCCCUGCGUGGUGGCCCACAGCUUUAAUCCUAGUACUCAGGCAGAGGCAAGCGGAUCUCUGUGAGUUCAAUGCCCAGCCUAGCAUACCUCGUGAGUUUGCCAGGGUUACCUAGUGAGACCCUGUCUCAAAAAAAAUAAAUAAAUAAAUAAAAAAUAAAAAAAGAACAGAAAAGAAAGAAAGGAAGGAAGGACAAAAAAGGAAAGGAAGGAGGAAAAGAUACUCUAGCUAGAAGGCAGACCCUCAUCAAAGACCAAUUCUCCUCUGUGUCUCAUCACCAGCAGCCCCAGUGGCUCCGUGCCCUGCUUCCCAUAGUUACCCAGCAGUUUCCUUGUAUAUUCCCAGACAGUUUGGGAGGAAUCGGGAGGUCAUCUUCCAUUCAUUGGCCUACCAGUGGGAAACAGGGACAGUGCUCGAGGACCAGAGUCCACUCCACAAGCGACAGACCAGCAAUGGUGACAGGACCACUCUUCCCAUAAUGAGGACUUCCUCAACCUCAGACCUGGGGGUGCACUCAACCGUGGAUGUUCACUAGCCGAAGGAUGGAACAGAGCAAGGAAUGAGGGAUGUUGGGGGAAUAAGAGGAUGUCGGGAAGGGAGUCCACAUUCAAGUGUGUUCAUAGCGCCCACGAGCACCCAAGGUCUUAGCUCCAGAUUAGGCUCUGUACCAGGGCCCCCUGGAGCUCUGCAGAGGGGUGGGAGCAGAGCGGGAAGGGGCGAUUCCCACUCUUCUUUCCUUCCGCAGACACAGACCAAGGGCUGAGAAGGAAGGGGUAAAUGGUCUCUAUGGGCUGACCUGGGUUCAGGAGUCAAACUUUUUGUUCUACAGAAGUGAGGCCAGACCCAGCUAGCAGCUCGAUAGGGAAGCUUUUCCCAAAUCACCACACUCCCAAACUUCCGUUAGAUGAGACCGCGGGGACACUGGAAAUGGUGAAGGAAUCUCUGACACUGAGACAGUAUCCCCUCUGUGGCCUAGCCAAGGAGACCAAUUACCCACGAGCCUCUAAUCCCCAGGGCCCCAUCACUAGGCACAGCUCUCAUCACCUCCAAGCCCAAGCGGAUCCCCUUUAUCACGCCCCCUGGCACCAGCCUGUCUGAGCCUCCCCCACCUCUGACGCCCAGGACGUUUGUUUUGGUAUCUGUGGUGGCUGUGGUCGGAGCAUAAUUGGGGUUGAAAUACACACCCGGACCCCCUCAAGGAUAAACAAGUUGGGUUGGGGCAGCCUUGAAACAAAUGUGAAGAAAGACACGAAGACAGUGGGACUGGACAGCCAGACAAGCUGGUAUGGAAAGGCCAGAGGCUGGCAGAGAGGAAGGUACCCGGAUGCAAGGCCAAGGAGGUCAGCCAGGCGCCCAGGCCCAGGGAAGCCAAUCCGAGAGCCUCUAGUCACAGUCGCAGUCCGCAAGCUUCGGCCUUUAGGAAGGCUUUUGCCUGGUUCUGAGGGUCUUUGUGCUGUGGUUUUCAGACUCACUUUCCCUGCACCCCCAAACCUGUAGCCUCAAGUUGAAUGGUUUUGAAGCAAGCAUAGAAACCAUACCUGGAGAAAUGUUGGUCUUCACUGAAGGUGUGACUUAAUUUGUUGCUGGCCUCAGGGCGCCUGACAGCAGGAAAAAGCAUCCUGACUGGACAGAGUUCAUCAAGACCCAAAAGCGCUGUGAGGAGUCAAGGGUCCGCUUCAUGACUCAGUUAAUAUACUCAGAGAGCUUGGGAAGCGCUUAGGGAAAGGGCACCCAGGCAAGGAUGACCAACAGGAUGUAAAGUUCAGAGGUUACCGGAGCCUUUGAGGCUGUAGGCCUCCUGACUUCUUCAGAGUCCCCUGCGUAUUCCAGGUUCCAAGUAUUUAAUGACCAGAGUCUUGCGCCUUGGUGGGGGAGGCAAGCUUCUUCUGGGCAGUCAUGCAAUGCUCUAUACACCAUCAAAAUGUAGUGCUAGUCCCAGCCUCAGUGGCUGGGAGAAGAUCAUCCCUUCCAAGUGUAUCUGGAAGAUGAAGGGCUGGAGAAAUGUUGGGUUUUGGGCCCUCUGGCAAUCUCAAACUGACACAACCAGCCUCCUGAAUCCAAGGACCUUUUCGGGUCUUUGGGAAGCUCACUGCUCUCCAGUCAGGGAAGGGAUGAAGGGCUGGGCCUUUGGGGGGCAAAGAUCCAGAAUCUGGCUGGAUAGUCUCGGGUUCUGCCACUUUGUAUGAGACAACAUCCGGGAGCUCCAGAUGCUAUGGGCUUUACUGUCCCCGCUGACCACCACACUCACAAUUCACAUGGUGGCUGCCCCCAGGGGUCUCCAGACCAAGAGAAGAGAACUAGGAAGUAACGGAGCUGAGCCUGAGACAAGCUGUCUGCAAGGGCUAGUGACUCCUUGGUCCCACUAUCUACAAAGACUCUCUGGGCCCAAUUCUUCUGGGAUGAUGACAUUGUGCCUGUUUUGAUAUGCAAGACAUGUUUUGUCCUCUGGUCUCACUGAAGCUAAGAGCAGUCACUUCAGUAAGACCCCCCAUCUCCACCAACUUCCUGUCUUCCUAAUCCCCCAGUGACCCCUCCAGACGCAGUUCCUUGCCCAGCUUGCCCAGGUCUUGUGCCACUGUCUUGGGUUUUAGGACUGCCAUCUGGUGGACAUUGCCGUAACUACUGCCACCAUCUUCUGAGGCCCUUGUGACCUUCUCCAAGGCUAACUUAGCUUAACUUAGUUAAUACCCUAGGGCAGGACAGGGCAGGGGCACUGGGCAGGGGACACAUGUGUGCAGGCUUCCAAACCACAGUAGCUUGCUCUCGCAUCCUGUUGCCAGGAUACAGAACUUUCACAGGCUAGGUUUGAUUGGCCGGUGGAGGGCAGGAACCUGCAGAAAAAGGCUCCCCUUGCUCUAUUUGCCAGAGCCUUGGAAAACCCAGAGGCCAGCCAGAAGUACCCCUUCCAUUCUGUCCUCACUCCUCGCCCACAAGUGGGGAGUCUCUAGAAGCAUAGGCCUCGUUUCCUGGAGCUGAGAACUCCUGUAGAUACCCUGGGGGGACGGAAAUGCUUGAAUAUGGACACACACACACACACACACACACACACACACACACACCAUCCCCAAUCCGUCUUGCUCCGUUUCUUUCCUCAGCCAAUGAACUUCCACAGAUGGGUGGACCCGGAAGCCUCAGGAUCGGAGGACAGAAGUCAUCAUUACAGGGUUCCUCCAAGCAGCCCAGCAACGGUGAAUAAUUUAUGUACAAGCACUGUACUGCUGAGGACUGGAAACAACCUAAGAAUCCAGCUAUGGGAUAGAGCUGACAAAACAGCCUAGGAUAGAACACUACGCAGCCGUUCAAGAGAACAGCACACGUGUCUCCACAAAGAAUCGGGGCCAGCCUGGUUUACAGAAAACAUAACCACCACCAAUUCCAUGGCGGGGACCGACAGGCUGAAGAGUCUCUGAGCUUCUGCAAGGCGAGAAGAGGGCGUCCAGCAUUCCCUGGGUGAUCACGAAGAAAACGAGUAAAAACCAUAGACCAAAGAAGAGGUCUACAGUUAUUCACCUGGUUUCUCCCACCACAGGGCCUCUGGCAUCUUUGCAAGCAUAGCAUCACAGAAUGGGAAACUGAGGCAGCUCACGUUACAAACACAGACCAGAGCCAUGCUCUUUCUGCCCUCUGUGCUCAGAGAUCUUCUUUCUUCCCUGUCCUGAGUCUCUCUGCAGAGGUGUCUGGGCAGGAGUUAAUAGCUUCCCUCUGGGCUUCGUGCAGGCAGCACAUAGUGUCCAUGUCACCCACUCCAGAUCCCAGAAGGUGUGCAGGGGACCCCAGCCAGGGGUGGCUCUGGAAGCCAGAUUCCCCGUCACCUGCUCUUCUUCUAGCACCUUUCUGCCAGCGAGAGCCCGGUGCCCAUUCCCCGCCAACACCCCCUCCUCAUCACAGAGCACCCCCUUAAUUAUACUUAAUGGCAAAGACCAUAAGAGCUUUAUUAACUUUAUUAUGGACCCAAUUAGCAGCUAAUGCCCCAUGACUACUGUCCCCCUCCCUCAAUAAUCCCAUUAAACAUAAUGAAACAGCCUUUCCCACUUCCCUGCUGGGCACAAGCUGGGGGGACAGGGAAAUCCAUCUUCCUGGGCCUGAUUCUGCCCCUCAGGCCCAUUGGACACCAGCUCAGGCCCUGCAGCUUCCCAGGGACCAGAGCUGGGCAUGCCGAAGACAAAGAUUAAUCAGCAAGUAUUCUGGUGCCAGCCACUGCCUACACACACACACACACACACACACACACACACUCAUACACCCAUACACACAUAGCCUGGCUCAUAUCCAAAUAGUUUCUCUCUCAAAACAGAGAUGUGGAACACACUCAU